GACGAACGCUGGCGGCGUGCUUAACACAUGCAAGUCGAACGGUAAGGCCCUUCGGGGUACACGAGUGGCGAACGGGUGAGUAACACGUGGGUGAUCUGCCCUGCACUUCGGGAUAAGCCUGGGAAACUGGGUCUAAUACCGGAUAGGACCACUGCCUGCAUGGGUGGUGGUGGAAAGCGUUUGCGGUGUGGGAUGGGCCCGCGGCCUAUCAGCUUGUUGGUGGGGUGAUGGCCUACCAAGGCGACGACGGGUAGCCGGCCUGAGAGGGUGACCGGCCACACUGGGACUGAGAUACGGCCCAGACUCCUACGGGAGGCAGCAGUGGGGAAUAUUACACAAUGGGCGCAAGCCUGAUGCAGCGACGCCGCGUGAGGGAUGAAGGUCUUCGGAUUGUAAACCUAUUUCAGUAGGGACGAAGCGAAAGUGACGGUACCUAAAGAAGAAGCACCGGCUAACUACGUGCCAGCAGCCGCCGUAA
rnacentral:rRNA from 1 species